ACCAUCGCCACACCCGCACGCACGCACUCCCCCCCCCCCCCCCGCCCUCGCCGUCGCCGUAGCCUCGUCUCCGGCGUAGGGGGGAGCCUCUGGAGGCUGGCGUGGCCUACUGCGGCCCAGAUGGCGGCGCACGCGGCGAAGAAGCGGCGGCCGGAGGAGGAGGUGGAGGAGGAUAUGCACCUGGCGUUCCGGGGCGCCGCGAACGCGCUGUCGCAGGUGUACACGCAGGCGGUGGCGCACCAGAAGGCGUCCUUCCACACCGGCGAGCGCAGGGCCGUGGAGAAAGUCUAUCGAUGGUUGUCCAGUCAGCUUGAGGGAGCUUCAGAGGUGUCCAUUGCUGAUGUACUUGCAUACUUGCAGAAUGAGAUUGAACACCAAACAGAGGACAUGCCAGCAUCUCCGCAGCAUCCAAGUCCGCUGCCAUCAUAUAAUUUUCCUUCUGCAAAUGUACAAAACAAUCCCUUCUCAUUUGGGUAUGUAGGUGCUGCACAUAACUCCCGGAUGGGUGAAACUGACCAAAGAAAUGCGGGCAUCUCAAAUGCUCUCUCCAACCCUUUACGGACAAAUUUCCAAUUGAAUAAUUUGAUUCAGUCUUCAGGAUAUGGUCCCAUCAACUCAUUGUCCAAUGGAAAUGGGACUCAGAACAGCCAUUCUCCCCAAAAUCUGGACUUCUUGCAUUACAAUUCGCAUGAGCCCUCUAUGGAUAUGCAUCAUGAUGGCCCUUGAAGGUGAAAACCAUAAGAAAACUUGGAAGUGUCAAGUGUAUCUAGUUCCUUCGAAGCCGUCAAGUUCUGAUCUUUAUUGGCUGGAGAAGCCCCACCGAUUGGUGAUUGAUGUCUUCCCCGUCUACGACUCGGUUGCCAUCAAUUGUGUCUCAGUGCAAAACUCCUGCAAUACAGAAUUGUAGCCAUUCUCAGCCCUUCCUGAUAGCAUAUGCUUGACAACCAGAAACCUCUUCUGGGGGAGUAGGGGUUCACUAUGUUGAUUGCAAGAUUGGAGAGUCAACAUACUGGUUUGGUAGAACUGCUGCGUUUAUUAUCAGUUCAUUUGUUUGUUUACCAAGUGCAAAGCCAUGCUCUGGCCAGCAAGGAGUUUGUGGUGGUCGAUAGAUGUUAAUGAUUUUAUUGUUUAGCGCCAACUCUUUGGCCACCUCGCGUGCGUCAGCUCCCGCCCGAGGUCACCCAAGUUCCAGCAACCUCGUGUCCACGUAUGAGUCCCCAAGCACCCACAGGGAAGGAGGCUUGGCGUUGCCGCAGCCACUGCUGCUAGUAUUGUUGUGCUUGCGCAGCUCCUCAUCCAACGCCUCCGCCGCUGGCAACAGCAACGCCGCCACGACCUCAUGAUCGAGUUGGCAUGUACAGAGAUGUAGUGAAUAAGCCAAGAUCAGAAGGAAGGGUUGACGGUGCAUAGAGAGAUCGAUUGAGAUGUAUGUAGCAAAGUUAUGUACAGAGAACAAGCGCCAAGGCUCUUGCAGCCCGAGGUUCUCGCAUACAAAUGUCCAUACAGGGA